rnacentral:rRNA from 1 species
UACGUAGGGACCAAGCGUUGUUCGGAUUUACUGGGCGUAAAGGGCGCGUAGGCGGCUUAACAAGUCACUUGUGAAAUCUCCGGGCUUAACUCGGAACUGCCAAGUGAAACUGUCAAGCUAGAGUGCAGAAGGGGCAAUCGGAAUUCUUGGUGUAGCGGUGAAAUGCGUAGAUAUCAAGAGGAACACCUGAGGUGAAGACGGGUUGCUGGGCUGACACUGACGCUGAGGCGCGAAAGCCAGGGGGAGCAAACGGGG